GAUGAACGCUGGCGGCGUGCCUAAUACAUGCAAGUCGAGCGAACGGACGAGAAGCUUGCUUCUCUGAUGUUAGCGGCGGACGGGUGAGUAACACGUGGAUAACCUACCUAUAAGACUGGGAUAACUUCGGGAAACCGGAGCUAAUACCGGAUAAUAUUUUGAACCGCAUGGUUCAAAAGUGAAAGACGGUCUUGCUGUCACUUAUAGAUGGAUCCGCGCUGCAUUAGCUAGUUGGUAAGGUAACGGCUUACCAAGGCAACGAUGCAUAGCCGACCUGAGAGGGUGAUCGGCCACACUGGAACUGAGACACGGUCCAGACUCCUACGGGAGGCAGCAGUAGGGAAUCUUCCGCAAUGGGCGAAAGCCUGACGGAGCAACGCCGCGUGAGUGAUGAAGGUCUUCGGAUCGUAAAACUCUGUUAUUAGGGAAGAACAUAUGUGUAAGUAACUGUGCACAUCUUGACGGUACCUAAUCAGAAAGCCACGGCUAACUACGUGCCAGCAGCCGCGGUAAUACGUAGGUGGCAAGCGUUAUCCGGAAUUAUUGGGCGUAAAGCGCGCGUAGGCGGUUUUUUAAGUCUGAUGUGAAAGCCCACGGCUCAACCGUGGAGGGUCAUUGGAAACUGGAAAACUUGAGUGUAGAAGAGGAAAGUGGAAUUCCAUGUGUAGCGGUGAAAUGCGCAGAGAUAUGGAGGAACACCAGUGGCGAAGGCGACUUUCUGGUCUGUAACUGACGCUGAUGUGCGAAAGCGUGGGGAUCAAACAGGAUUAGAUACCCUGGUAGUCCACGCCGUAAACGAUGAGUGCUAAGUGUUAGGGGGUUUCCGCCCCUUAGUGCUGCAGCUAACGCAUUAAGCACUCCGCCUGGGGAGUACGACCGCAAGGUUGAAACUCAAAGGAAUUGACGGGGACCCGCACAAGCGGUGGAGCAUGUGGUUUAAUUCGAAGCAACGCGAAGAACCUUACCAAAUCUUGACAUCCUUUGACAACUCUAGAGAUAGAGCUUUCCCCUUCGGGGGACAAAGUGACAGGUGGUGCAUGGUUGUCGUCAGCUCGUGUCGUGAGAUGUUGGGUUAAGUCCCGCAACGAGCGCAACCCUUAAGCUUAGUUGCCAUCAUUAAGUUGGGCACUCUAAGUUGACUGCCGGUGACAAACCGGAGGAAGGUGGGGAUGACGUCAAAUCAUCAUGCCCCUUAUGAUUUGGGCUACACACGUGCUACAAUGGACAAUACAAAGGGCAGCGAAACCGCGAGGUCAAGCAAAUCCCAUAAAGUUGUUCUCAGUUCGGAUUGUAGUCUGCAACUCGACUACAUGAAGCUGGAAUCGCUAGUAAUCGUAGAUCAGCAUGCUACGGUGAAUACGUUCCCGGGUCU
rnacentral:rRNA from 1 species